CCCUCCCCACUCCCCCCGCCCCACGACAGGCCCCGGUGUGUGACGUUCCCAUUGUUCAGUUCCCACCUAUGAGUGAGAACAUGCGGUGUUUGAUUUUUUGUCCUUGCAAUAGUUUACUGAGAAUGAUGGUUUCCAGCUUCAUCCAUGUCCCUACAAAGGACAUGAACUCAUCCUUUUUUACGGCUGCAUAGUAUUCCAUGGUGUAUAUGUGCCACAUUUUCUUAAUCCAGUCUAUCAUUAAUACUUUUCUUAUGAAAGAAUAUUUUUUAAACUUAAAAAUGAAAGUCCAAAUAAAAUAACCUGUAUAUAACAAGCACCUCUUAGGUGUUUUUCCUAAAAUUUAUUGAUUAUUGCUUGUUCAACAUUAAACAACAAAAUGAAUUGAGUCAAUAAACAAUUUAAAUGCUGAUGAAAAAAAAACUCAAUGAAAACAAACCCAGACAUUCACUUUAUGUUUCCUUUUAGGGUCAACCAAAGCCAGCUAAGAUUGCUUAACUGAAACAGAUAUGAUACAGAACUUUCAUGUUGCCUAUUCCAUCGGCUUUUUUCACCUCAACCAAUGAAAAAUCUGAAGUCAGAAAAUUCUGCCUGCUACCAUCAAAUACCUCUUAGUCAAAAAUGUGACAAUGUGACUUUGCAAAGUAGUGAAUACUUCAUAGAACAGACAUCUGAAAAUCAUAUAUAUUUUUCCCCAUCAUCAAAAAAUAGCAAUCCUAAACAGAUGGUUAAAUUAGAACUGAAACACAAAGUUUAAAAACACUGAUUCACUGUUUCCUCUCACAGAUACGUUUUAUGUGGAAAGUUCAGGUUUUAAUUAGAUUUUUCUAACAAAAUCAUUGACGACUCACAUUCCAAAAUUUGUCAGACCAAAAAAUAAGAGUAUAUGGUAAUUUGUUGAAUGCAAUAACCCUAAAUUUAAAUUCAAUGCUAAGAGUUCAAUGAAAAGAGAGUCAUUUUGCUGGCAAUAAAUAAAGGAGAAGAAUACAAGGACUGUAUGCUUAUAUCCUGUUUCUACCAUGUUUCUAUGCAGUGUUGAGCAAGUCACUAUAUUCUCUCAACUUCAGUUUCUACCAUCUGUAGAAAUGGGCACCAUAAAUACACUUGCAAAUGUGAAUUAUAACUACCAUUUUUUAAAGAUCCAUAUGUUGUAUAAGAAAACGAUUUCAAGUGUUUUUAUCCAACAUAAUGACAGCUUUAAAAUGUUACUAGGUGUCACUUUAUAGAUGACUUAAAUAAAUCUUUUCAUGGGAAGGAACAAAAAUGCAUUUCUAUGCAUCCUGAUCUAUUCAACACAAGUUCCUAUCAAUUGCUAUAGCCUUAGAUGUCUCAUAAUUUCUGGUCUUAAACUAUCUCUUAAUUGUUUCAUUGAAGUUUUUCUCAUCUUCUGAAAGAAUUAAUAGCAGAAAAUAAGGUCCUCUAAAGAGAACUAAGCAUAGCUAUUGAAACAAGUAAGUAUUAAAUGAGAUAGCUCAGUGUCUCCAAUUAACACUGGCCAGAAAUGGUUCUUACUGAUUCUGAUCAAUGGAAAGAACAGGACUGGUAACCCUGAGUCCUAUUUCCAUUUCUACCCAAGGAUAGCUGGGAGCUCUUAGGUAAGUCAGUUAACUCUUUGGGCCAGAACCUCAUCUAUAAAAUAAGGUAUUGGGAGCUGACCUUCUGUUUAAGAUUAUGUUUAAGCUGACCUUCUGUUUAAAAUUCUUAUAAACUUUAACACUGAUACCAAAUGUUUUUUGGAAUUACUGAUAUGGACAGUACACACGGAAAUAUGGGGUAGAAGAGGGGCAGCUGCCCACAAAGGCUGCACCCUCAAGGCUGGAAACCAUGGCCCUAAAUGAGAACAAAAAUUCCUGUUUUUGUGCCCAUAAGUUGCCUUUUGGCCCACCCAUCCCUCUAUCUGGUACCCAUAUAAACCCCAAACCCCUGGCUCCAUGAGCAGAAAAGAAGAUGAACAGAAGGGCAGAAGAAUGGCAGAAUGGUGUGACAGACAAAAGAGAGGAGCAUCUGAACAUCGAGAGGAGUUACACUGGGGACGGUUGGAGAGGAGAUCAGCUGCUGGAUGGCCAAACUCCAGGGGAAGAUCAUCUUCCCACUCCAUCCCCCCUCCAGCUCCCCAUCCAUCCUGCUGACAGCCACCUCCAUCACUCAAUAAAACCGUGCAUUCAUCCUUCAAGUCCAUGCGUGAAUUGAUUCUUCCUGGAUGCCGGACAGGACCUGGGUACCAAGAGAGCACUGAGCUGUUUAACACUUAAGCCAUCUGCAGAUGGCAAGGCUAAAAGAGUGCACUGUGACACAUGCCUACUAGGGCCUCAGGAGUCACAGACACCCACGCCUGGAUGCUACUGUGGGGCUGGAUCCCAGAGGUAGUUGCCCCAACUCCUGCACCUGCCAAUCUGUGUGCUCCCCCUCCCAUAAGAGGUUUCAGUGUGCAUGGCAGCCCAACAGACAAGCCACAACCCUGUUGCACAUCCUGCAAGGGGGGUCAGGGAACUCUCUCCUCUCAUUACCAGCUUUGUCUCAGUAGUCCAGUGCUACCGUGUAAACUCUGAGACAAUGCUUGUUAAACAAAAGGUAAUACGUAGAUUUUUCAGGGGCAGAAAGACUGAAAAACUCCUGACGAACUUGCAACAUUGUCAAGGCUAGCUAACUAAAGGCGUAAGACAGCAUCUUUUGUAACAGAGGAAGCUCCAUGUACGGAGGUGAUUAUGGGUGGAUUAAAGGAGAAAAGUAAAAUGAGGGUGGCAGGUAUCUCUGAAUUCCUCCAGGUUUGGGUACCUAGUAACAAGAAACAUAUUCUCAUAAUUCCGCCUAGAAUAUCCAAGAACAAGAUAUUCUAUAUACCUAUAAUUUCUCAGAUUCUUGUAUAUAUAAAAUGAAAAUCAUCAGUAAAAUUAAAUUAUUCCUUCACUAAUACUGGAAAAUAA
rnacentral:lncRNA from 10 species